rnacentral:lncRNA from 1 species
CGGAUAGUCGAUCUCCACAAUCUGAUCACCGUCGGGAGGCUCUGAUCAUCGCAAUGCAGCCACAUAGGGUGUCUGAUCUCUACGGAUCAUCCACACGAGGCUUCCAAUCUGAUCGGCUCCUCACGAGUGCUAGCUCGUGGUAAAGCCCUUUUGACGGCUGAUGCUGAUCGAACUCCUUCGAUCGAUGUCUGUCGAUUCUAUGGAUACUCUAGAUCAUCAAAAAACAUGCUUGAGAGAUAGAUGAUUCUCUCCCUUGAAUUUGGUGGG